UCCUGGUUAACCCAGGCAGUCUCAUUAGAGUUCCCGACAUUACUCGCUGGCAACUAAUGAUAAGGGUUGCGCUCGUUGCUGGACUUAACCAAACACCUCACGGCACGAGCUGACGACAGCCAUGCAGCACCUGUGCAGAGGUCCCGAAGGACUUACAUAUUUCUACAUAAUUCCUCUGCAUGUCAAAUCUGGGUAAGGUUCUUCGCGUUGCAUCGAAUUAAACCACAUGCUCCACUGCUUGUGCGGGUCCCCGUCAAUUCUUUUGAGUUUCAGCCUUGCGACUGUACUCCCCAGGCGGUAUACUUAUCGCGUUUGCUCCGGCACAACUGGGGUUGAGUCCAGUUACACCAAGUAUACAUAGUUUACGGCAAGGACUAC
rnacentral:misc_RNA from 1 species